rnacentral:rRNA from 1 species
CCUACGGGAGGCAGCAGUGGGGAAUCUUGGACAAUGGGCGCAAGCCUGAUCCAGCCAUGCCGCGUGAGUGAUGAAGGCCUUAGGGUCGUAAAGCUCUUUCGCCAGAGAUGAUAAUGACAGUAUCUGGUAAAGAAACCCCGGCUAACUCCGUGCCAGCAGCCGCGGUAAUACGGAGGGGGUUAGCGUUGUUCGGAAUUACUGGGCGUAAAGCGCACGUAGGCGGAUCGGAAAGUUGGGGGUGAAAUCCCGGGGCUCAACCCCGGAACUGCCUCCAAAACUAUCGGUCUAGAGUUCGAGAGAGGUGAGUGGAAUUCCGAGUGUAGAGGUGAAAUUCGUAGAUAUUCGGAGGAACACCAGUGGCGAAGGCGGCUCACUGGCUCGAUACUGACGCUGAGGUGCGAAAGUGUGGGGAGCAAACAGGAUUAGAUACCCUGGUAGUCCACGCCGUAAACGAUGAAUGCCAGUCGUCGGGUAGCAUGCUAUUCGGUGACACACCUAACGGAUUAAGCAUUCCGCCUGGGGAGUACGGUCGCAAGAUUAAAACUCAAAGGAAUUGACGGGG